rnacentral:rRNA from 1 species
GAUGAACGCUGGCGGCGUGCUUAACACAUGCAAGUCGAACGGAAAGGCCCAAGCUUGCUUGGGUACUCGAGUGGCGAACGGGUGAGUAACACGUGGGUGAUCUGCCCUGCACUUCGGGAUAAGCCUGGGAAACUGGGUCUAAUACCGGAUAGGACCACAUUUUGGAUGGUGUGGUGGAAAGUUUUUCGGUGUGGGAUGAGCUCGCGGCCUAUCAGCUUGUUGGUGGGGUAAUGGCCUACCAAGGCGUCGACGGGUAGCCGGCCUGAGAGGGUGUACGGCCACAUUGGGACUGAGAUACGGCCCAGACUCCUACGGGAGGCAGCAGUGGGGAAUAUUGCACAAUGGGCGCAAGCCAGAUGCAGCGACGCCGCGUGGGGGAUGACGGCCUUCGGGCUGUAAACGCCUUUCGCUAGGGACGAAGCGUUAUGUGACGGUACCUGGAGAAGAAGCACCGGCUAACUACGUG